rfam:Citrus clementina cultivar Clemenules unplaced genomic scaffold scaffold_2, whole genome shotgun sequence.
AAGAGAAGAGGCUGUCAGAGUAGCCAAGGAGACUCCCUGGCGACCAAACAAAAGGCUUCAUGCUUGAAACCUAAUGAUAUUGACAGCCGCAGGCAAGUCAUCCUUGGCUAACAAACGUUACUCUUAUCU